rnacentral:misc_RNA from 1 species
UCAAGGAUCAAAUGCUGGAACGUCUCGCCAGGGAGGAUAUAUUGCAUGAUAUAAUGUUCUAUCAAUUAUACCCCUAUAAGGAUCCUGCUUUCUCUUCUUCAACAAGUAGUCUAUACUGUGUUUAACCUCAGAUUUUACCUGCAAGUACAACUCAUUUGCAUAAUCUCUGUCUUUCAGAAGCUCUUCCUUCCCCUUCGUUUCAAUGGGCUUUCCGAACAGAAAAUAAAAUCGGCCAGGUACCUUAGGCAAAAGCCCUGGAAUAAACAUUUCUUGGUUGGCAACCUCACCUUGGAUCUCAUCCCUGAUUCUCACAGCACUGCGACUCCUCUCUCCAACAAAGUCAUUAACAAAAGGGAUUUUCCUGAUGUCGUUGUAGUCAAGAACCAAUUCUGCUAUAUCAUCUUCUCCUACACUCCCAAAUGGUACAAUUGUGGCCCCAAACCUUGCAGCCAUUCUCACAAACUCUUGUUGAUUAGGCCAAAAUAACUUAUACUCUUCACCCUUGUAAUGCAAAGCCUCUCGUGCACCUCCAGGAUAAAGAAGCACAUGUGAUUUUGUUGAAAGCAAUCUGAAAAUAUUACUCGCUGUAGCAGGUACAGCACCCAUUACUUUCAUCCAAUCUUGUAGAGAAAACUCGGUAGAUGAACUUUCCAACGUCCCAUUAAAGAGUACUGGAUGUGCUAGACCACGCAAGGCAAUGUUCUCUCUCAAGAAUGCUUCUACGAGGGGAUAAAGUUCAAGUCCCAUCAACAUGUGGUAACCAACUAACAAGACAGGACCUUCCUUUGGAAUCCCAGCAAGACCUCUCACUAUCCGUCCAUCAUCAAGAGUUGAGAACAUAGCAGCACCAGUAACAAAGCGUAAUAAUCCAACCACUUCGUCAAAGCCAUAUUUGAAUUCUGACAUGCUAGGGGGCACAAAAUCUGAGACAUAAUCGAGCCUCCUUGAACAACGAUAUUUACCAGUACCUUUAAUGAUAGUGAGGAGAUUAAUUCCAUCCUCCAGUAAAAUUGUAUGCCCAUUGUCUUUGAAAAGACGAACUAUGCAAUUCUGUAGUGAACUUUUAAGACGAUUAGCUUCAUCAACACUGGGAAGCAUAUAAUCCUUGCCACUAGCAAGCACUAGCACUUCAGCUUUUACAGCAUGAAGACGGGAAUUGGCAUAAGCAGCAGCUGAAUUAAGCAGUUUCAACUUCCAAAGGAGAGUUUCCCUUGGAAUGAUAUCAGCCAAACCAGAAAGAAGAGGUAGCAAAGUAGUGAGAUUGCUGGACAGUUGUUCAAUUUUUG